rnacentral:rRNA from 1 species
AAGGAUCGCAGCUAUAAUGCAANUCGAACGGUAAGUUGAGUAGCAAUACUUGACCAAGAGUGACGUAAGGGUGCGUAACACGUAUGCAAUCUGCCCUGUACAGGUGAAUAGCUCGGGGAAACUCGAAUUAACACACCGUAAUAUCACCGAUCAGGCAUCUGAUUGUGAUUAAAACUGAGGUGGUACAGGAUGAGCAUGCGCAUGAUUAGUUAGUUGGCGGGGUAACGGCCCACCAAGACGAUGAUCAUUAGGGGAACUGAGAGGUUGAUCCCCCACACUGGCACUGAGAUACGGGCCAGACUCCUACGGGAGGCAGCAGUAGGGAAUCUUCCGCAAUGGACGAAAGUCUGACGGAGCAACGCCGCGUGAGUGAUGAAGGUUUUCGGAUCGUAAAACUCUGUUGUUAGGGAAGAACAAGUACGAGAGUAACUGCUCGUACCUUGACGGUACCUAACCAGAAAGCCACGGCUAACUACGUGCCAGCAGCCGCGGUAAUACGUAGGUGGCAAGCGUUGUCCGGAAUUAUUGGGCGUAAAGCGCGCGCAGGCGGUCCUUUAAGUCUGAUGUGAAAGCCCACGGCUCAACCGUGGAGGGUCAUUGGAAACUGGGGGACUUGAGUGCAGGAGAGAAGAGUGGAAUUCCACGUGUAGCGGUGAAAUGCGUAGAGAUGUGGAGGAACACCAGUGGCGAAGGCGACUCUUUGGCCUGUAACUGACGCUGAGGCGCGAAAGCGUGGGGAGCAAACAGGAUUAGAUACCCUGGUAGUCCACGCCGUAACGAUGAGUGCUAAGUGUUAGAGGGUUUCCGCCCUUUAGUGCUGCAGUAAACGCAUUAAGCACUCCGCCUGGGGAG